CUCGCGCCCGCAGCUUUGCUUUUCGCACUUGGUCCAGUUUUGGGGGGUGGGAACGGGGACACGACAGGCGUGCGGGCGGGCAAUACUUAGCCCUCCAGAAGCUGGGGACCCCUUCGAUUAGCCGUGCUGCCCCGAGAAACUCCUAGACUAAUAGUCUGAGGGAGCAGAUAAAGCCCUUUCUUCUCCCGGGAAAGUGCAGCGGAGCGCGGUGAGGACCAGCUCAGUGGACUAGGCAGAGGCGGGAGCUGUCCUUAUCAAUUCUAGCUCAUUUCCCUCACCCCGGCCCUGCCUGCUUCCCUGCUUCGCAAACUGUUGGCUUCCCAGUCACCACUCAGUUUUGCUAAUUUUCCAGAGACGCCUUUAAACCUGGCAGGAGAAUCCCUCCAGCCCCAGACCCCCUCUCCCCCGCCUUCCCCCACCUCCUGCAUUUCAAAGCGCGGAAGUUCGGGCGUGUAUCUCCCCUUCCCCCGCGGGGCGGCACCGAGGAAGAUGAGGAGGAAGGCAGUGGAGCUACUGGGGUGGAUUUAGAGCAAGAGCCGGGAGGCCCGGUGGGAUUCGUGUGGACGGUUCUCCCUCCCAGGCACUGGGCGCAGUGGCUUUAACUCCUGUAACUAUGAGAAGUUCAAGUUAACCGGCAGGGCUGAGCAGAAAGGGACCCUUUGCCCACACCCGGCCCGCGCGCCCGCCAGCCCGGGAGAACCGCUGCCGCCGCCGCCGCCCGGCUCAGAGGGAUCCCGCCGGACCUGCGCCUUCCACUGCGGCUCACUCUGCCCUGCCUGGCGCCAGUCCUGGAUCGCCGGCUUCCUAUUUCCACCGGACUGGGCUCCUCUCGACUCACUUUAUCAUCCCGUUCCAGGCUGGCGACUUCGCUGCUGAGCUGAAACUGCUAAUUUCUGUGACCAGCUUUUUUCUUAGCUGUGAUCUGGAUGAAUGAGUAGCUGUCUCACAGAGAUGACAAAAAUAAACUCUAAUCCUCCCCAAAAUUUCCACUACGUCUUUCUCAUGCAUAGAUUUAUGAUCUUCAAGCGCUCUGUGCAAUAUGCAAACUUUUUGUGUCUGUGUAUGUGCUGUUGUUUCCAGAUUUCACUACAUUGGUAUGCUGCUUUUCCCUUUCACCUCCCCCUCACCCCUCACACUGUGAAAUGCAGAAACAAUCUGAUCUCAAAGUAUGCCAAGAUGUCACUUUAUAGUGUCUUGGUAUUUGGGGUUUGAGUCUGACUUGGAAGUCAGGAGCCCUUGCCUAAGAGGUGAGUGGCUAAGUGUACAACGGGGGUGGGGGUGGGGGAAGUAGACAGAAUAGAGGAGACAGCCCUUUGCUUUACAUUUGUUUCCCUGCACCAUUCAAGCUUUAUGAUCUUGUUGGAAAACAUAUUUUCUCUGGUUAUACAACCAUCUCUGAACUUCUCUGUCAGCUCUUCAACAGUAAGGAUUCAGAACUCACAAUUUUUUUUUUUACUGGAAGAUUAAGCUUAUUGUCAGAUGUGCCUUUCAAUUAGGAGUCUUUGAUUUGCAGGAGCUAGAAUCAAGUGCUAGGAAAGCCAGCUGCAAUUUCACAAAUAUAACCUUUAAACUUUGGAGCUUAUCUGAUAUAUAAGGUUGGCCACAGAGAGCUCACAUUUUUGACCCUAUUUAGCAUGCAAAAAGAACCCCAGCAUGACUGGAAUUUUUGCUGUACCAGAGAUUCAUGUGCAUUUUGGUAGAGGACAUGUUCUCUAGACUUACCUCAUGAUGUAUUGCACCCUUACAUUUAUUGCCCUGCAUUUUGGUUGUCAAUGGGGGCUGGAGGUGUCCGAGAAAGAAGGGGAAAAAAAAGCAGAAAAAAGAAGGUAUGCCCUUGAAUAAAAUGAACAUGGAAGAAAGCUGGACUUGAGUUAGAUUGAGUUUUGUUUGCUAUUAAAUGUAUGAACAUGAUUCAUUCUAAUUGAUAUGUACUCUGAUUAGUAAACUUAUUAAAAUACACAUCAGCUCAUUGAAAGCCUGCCUUUUUACCUUCCCCUUUGAUUGGUGAGAGAUGGAAAGACACCUGCUUAAGGGAGGGGGAAACCUGAAAAUUCUUUGGUUCAGAAAUCAGGAAUUCCCCAUUUAAAAUGAUCAACAUUAACAUGCAUAUGGGAUAUUUACUCUUGAAUAGAUGAAGAAGGAUCAUACCGAAGCGUUUAUCCUUCACAAAGGCCUUUCUCUAUCAAGGUCCUAGAUUAUCUGAGGGUAAGACUACUUUAUUCAGAUCUUGCUGAGAUGCUGCAUUCUCAUAUUCAUAUUUAUAAUAAAAAGCCCCAGUACAUGAUAAAAUAAUAGAAAAGGACUUUUUGAUUAGAGCAGGGGAAGGAGAGAGAACAGAUCUUCCAAAUCUUCUGGCCCUUCUAUGUUUUUGUUUUUGUUUUUUUUUUUAAUUUCUCUUAUUUAGGUCUUGAACAGGAAGACUGUGUGACUGUAAUAUAACACCUUUUGGGGUUUCUGUUUCAUUAGCAAGUAAAGCUAUCAAGUGUGUGAAGUGUCACCAAACUCUCUGCCACGCAAAGUAUAAUUUUAUGGUACGCUUUUGCUGUUGAUCUUUUAUGAGCUUCCAACGAAGUAUUUGGAACUAAACCCAAAGGCGAAUAAGAGUAUUGAUCGCUUAAAUUAUUGCCAUCUUUCCAUUUUAUCAUAAAGGAAUUAGGGAUUAAGGUUGUUUUGUAGACCUCGCAGUAUCUUAUUUUUGAAUUUAUAUAUAUAUGUAUAUAUAUUUACUGAUAGGAUAUAUUGAUAUAUAAUUAUGAUUACUAGGACCUUUGCUGUUUUCAAACAAUAUAAAAGCCACAUUUCAAAAAUUUUAACUACCUACAAUUGUAAUGCUUACUUAACAACCUGGACGGAAGGGAAGGGGGACUGGUUGGGGGUUGCAAUUCUAAAACAGCUGUUAAAAUGAAGAGGUUAGGCUGUUUUCUUCUCGAUUUUAAAGUUACACUAUUUGAGAAUGUUUAACAUUCAGAGAAAAAUUACACUUAUGGCUAUUUUGUAAGCAAUUAAAAAAAGAAUACUGAUAAUAAAAAAAUC